GGUUGUGUAGCUCAGUUGGCAGAGCAAUGGACUUUUAAUCCGAAGGUCUUGGGUUCAAAUCCCAAUACACCCA
rnacentral:tRNA from 1 species